rnacentral:rRNA from 1 species
AGUGAACGCUGGCGGUAGGCCUAACACAUGCAAGUCGAACGGCAGCACAGUAAGAGCUUGCUCUUACGGGUGGCGAGUGGCGGACGGGUGAGGAAUACAUCGGCAUCUACUUUUUCGUGGGGGAUAACGAAGGGAAACUUACGCUAAUACCGCAUACGACCUACGGGUGAAAGCAGGGGAUCUUCGGACCUUUCGCGAUUGAAUGAGCCGAUGUCGGAUUAGCUAGUUGGCGGGGUAAAGGCCCACCAAGGCGACGAUCCGUAGCUGGACUGAGAGGAUGAUCGGCCACACUGGAACGGAGACACGGUCCAGAGUCCUGCGGGAGGCAGCAGUGGGGAAUAUUGGACAAUGGGCGCAAGCCUGGUCCAGCCAUCCCGCGUGGGUGAAGGAGGCCUUCGGGUUGUAAAGCCCUUUUGUUGGGAAAGAAAAGCAGCAGGUUAAUACCCCGCUGUUCUGACGGUACCCAAAGAAUAAGCACCGGCUAACUUCGUG